rnacentral:rRNA from 1 species
UACGGGGGGAGCAAGCGUUGUUCGGAUUCACUGGGUUUAAAGGGUGCGUAGGUGGGUUGGUAAGUCAGUGGUGAAAUCCCCGAGCUUAACUUGGGAACUGCCAUUGAUACUAUCAGUCUUGAAUACCGUGGAGGUCAGUGGAAUAUGUCAUGUAGCGGUGAAAUGCUUAGAUAUGACAUAGAACACCAAUUGCGAAGGCAGCUGGCUACACGAAUAUUGACACUGAGGCACGAAAGCGUGGGGAUCAAACAGGA